rnacentral:tRNA from 1 species
AGUAAGGUAAGCUAAUGUAAGCUAGUGGGUUCAUACCCCAAAAAUAAUUUGUUUCAAUUUCUUGCUA